GCUGGUUCAUAAGAUUUCUCCAUGCUUUAGUGUUUAAUCCUUCUCAAUGAAAACCUUCCACAUUGAUUGAGAUGAAGAAAGGGAACACCCAGAGAAAUGAAGCUCAUGAUGGGCAUGGAGAACCUGCAGAAACACCCAUAAAGCAAAAUCAGAGCAGUUCAUACAACAUAAUUCAGGCACUUCCAGCGCAAACAAGAACAAAUUAGAAACCUAACUGCUCAGAAAAUGAGAAGAGAGGGGGAAAGGGAGUCUGAAUUCUUAUAGAAAAGAGACAAAGCCCAACUAUUCUACAUGGGAAAACAACUUUCUCUUCAUAAUCAAAGAAACCCAAUUGAGAGGGACAGGGCCCCUUAAUAAAGAAGAUGGAAAAGGGAGAGAAGAAGGUAAACUCAGUCUCAGGAAGGAAAUGAAAUCCAUCAACACAAAGCGCUUAAGCAAAAGAUUGGGACCUUUAGAUGUUACUUUUGAUUUAUGAUGGAAUUGAAUUAAAGAAAGAAACAAGAAGUAAUUGAGAAAGGAAGAUUCAACCAGGCAAAAACAUCUAAGCACAGAAACAAAACAACAAAAAGAUAAAAGAAGGGAUAAGAAGAUGGAACAGAAAAAUGAAAGAUAUAGCAUAAGAGAAGCCAAUUUGAGGUGUUGAAACCCACCCAAACUUGAUAGCAAAAGCUGAAUUGACUUCUAGCCACUCUGGAGAGAAAAACAAAAAAUAA
rnacentral:lncRNA from 1 species